GUGGGACAAAGAAGGGGGACAGUCAUUUUCGGACAGGGGAUCGAAGCCAGAGAGUAGGUCUCGAAUGCUUUUUGCCUUUUGGGGAGCGCCUAAUGUCACCCACUAAAUUUAUGGUGCCAUGCUGAUUGAUACUGAAUGACGGUUUUACCCUUGGAAAUGGGUAGUAGAAGGUUGUAAAUAGAUUGUGUAGAAAAUUUGCAUUGUUAUUCUAAAAAGAUUGUCUCAGCUUAAAAAUAACGGACAAGAGUUAAUGAUUCUACUCUUUUACUCUUCGGCGGAUAAGAGUUAAUGAUUUUACUCUUUUACUCUUCAUUUCUAUAUUUAGUUACUAGAUACGAGAAAAAAAAAUAAGCGAUGAUGUUCAUAAACGACUUAAAGGAUGAAAAGGAAAAAAAAAUAUGACGAGUGCAAUAAAAAUGUUUUUUUAACGAAUUGGAAUCUUCAAAAGAGUUUUAGCAAAUGGGGAUGAAGGCAAUAGAGCAUAUCAUAACGAUAAGCCCUUUGGAGUUGGACUAGUUCGAGUAGUCAGAACCUAACUAAAACUUCUACUCAAAUGGCACUAUUUGACCUCAUUCAAACACUCUUGCCACAAUGUGUAAACUUAUUUACCCUAUAUAUCGAUAUCCUAUCGUACUGAUAUUUAGGAGACUUGUAGCACUUUGCAUGUUCUACGAGACGAACAGUUCGGAUCAUAGUUUUGGGCCCUUGACGCAGCGAAGUUAACUCUAGUUAGAUGUGGACGAAAAGUGGGAGUGUGGAGGGAUGAGGUAUGGAGAGGAGCUCAUUCCUCGGCCAAUUGGGUACCGGAAAUGGUUGGCCAAUUGGCACCAUUUCACCUCAUCCAAUCACUCUUGCCAGCGAUUUUGAAUUCCUACGGGUUGGGCACACCACUGACGUGGUGUUCAUAUAACUUCAAAAUAACUGCGGGUUAUUUUCACAAUUAGAAGAUGCUAUUUUUAUAGUAGGAGAUGUUUCACGAGUUGAGUUUUGCUUCUCUCUCUAUUAUUAUCCGAUUGGCGAGACUUUGUUUAGUUCAUGGUUUUACAAUAUUGCAAUGUCCGAGAAGGAAGGGGUUACAUGGAUCAGUAUCUUGGUUAUUGAAGUACUUAAGAUGUUCCUGAUGGAAAGUGUCUUGCUCUUUCGUAGUUGAUGGUAUCAGUCUAUCGGAUUUGAUUCACAAAACCUCUCUUAUCUUACAUGGAUUGUGGAAGGAUAUAUUCUUAUGCAAUUAUAUUAGAUAAGUUCUUAGACUGGAAAAGUUUAUUUUGCCCCAAUACAGUGGUUCUUUAAUUUAUCUCCCGCUUGCAAAGGAAAUGUGGACCUGGCCCUGACUGUCGUGUUAUAAGGCUAAUAUUUUACUUGCACAUCUUUCAACUAUCUUAGUUUUUGUGAUGCUUGGACUUAAUUAUAAGAAAAGUUUAUGUUGUUCAUUUGAUUUGUUUGCUUUAUAUUGGUUUAUUGGCAAAUCAAGUUAAAUAGUUACCGACAAAGAGAUUUUUACUUUAUUAUGUGAUGAUAUCGGAAUGAUUGGUAUGUGCAGGUCACUGCUACAAAUGAAACAACUACCAGCAAGAGGGCAAAAAAGAAAAAGACCUUAGCUGAACUUAAAGAAGAGGAGAUCUUGCUUGUAAAGGAAAGAAGGCAUUUGAAGAGGGAACUAGCAACCUUACGUGCCACCGUCGAGAAGCAGAGAGCCACAAAUGAAAGCUUGAAGAGAUUGAAGGUUAGCAUGUUACCGAUUCUUGCGCUCAAUCCUCUUUACUGUUUCAGUUGAUUGGAUCUUCACGGACAUGCAGCUAAUGAACAAAAUCUACUUGUUUGGCAAUCAUUCAGUAAACCCCACUACAAGUUUAGUUUGGAAAAGUAUUACAUAUUUGUUUGAGAUAAUUUUAUGUUGUUCUAAUUGAAAAUCUGAUUGAGUGAAGCACUUUGUGUUAAAAGAUGUGUUGAAAUCCUGUUAUGACACUAGACAAACUUGGGGCUUCGUUUCUAGUUUUAAUUUAGGUCAUCAAUAAGGACAUAGCCGUCAGAAUAGUCGAAGUAUGUCCUGUAUAAAUUAU